rnacentral:lncRNA from 1 species
CUGUCAUUAACAUAAAACAGAAACAAGAGUUUUACAUCUACAUAAUUUAACAAGUCUUUUUUUUAUAUACAACUCACUGUUUCCAACAAAACAAUAAUGUAAUAGCUUCAUAACAAUUUACGCAUGAUAUUGAACUUUUGUUACAUCAACAUGUAUUGUUUAGAAUAAAAAUAAAGUCUCAACUACUUUUCAGCAAACAAACCUAAGCACUAGUCAUCAUAUCAUGCUUUUCAUGAUCAGUUCAAGGUCUGACACUGCAUAUGAAAAGCAUGGUCAGGGGCGAUUCCAGUCAUUUUUAAAAGGGGAUAACAACUAUAUGUCCCCAUUGACAAGCAUUGAUCAUAUAAAAAAUGGGGGAGGAUUCCAACCCCAUAUCCUCCCCUGGAUCCACCACUGAUGGAUUAGGUUCACUGAUGUCAAUUUUCCCCAUUACAUAGUACACAAAGUUUCAAAAUCCAGAACUCAGGUAGCCUGAAUCUUGGGAUUUCUGCUCAAUUUUUUUUCUGAAUUUGAAUGAAAUGAUGCCAAAAUGGCUACAAAAAAAACCUAUUCAUCAAUAAAAUGCAGAAUUAGCAAAACAGUUCAUAUUUUUUUUAAGUAACCAUUCAGAAUAUCAUGAUUGCAUUUAGAAGCCACAAACUAAAAUAAAAAAAUAAAAAGUGACCUCUUCAGUUGUUUGUUAAUUCAAAUAUAUUUGUGAUCAUUUAUGCCUUCAACAAACAAAAUUUAUGCAUAAAAUAUAAGCAUGCAUUUCAAAUUUUGAUAUCAUUAUAUGCAUGAGCAUGUCCAGAAAUUUUAAAUUGAAUUAACAUAAUCAAUGGCUAAAAUAAAUGCACACCCAAAUCUCU